GAGACUGAUUGUCCAAACGCAAUUCUUGCGUCUUCCUGAUUAUUGUGCAGGAGUUGUGGAUGGACAUCAUGCCUC
rnacentral:pre_miRNA from 1 species